UUUGACCUCGGAUCAGGUAGGAAUACCCGCUGAACUUAAGCAUAUCAAUAAAGCGGAGGAA
rnacentral:rRNA from 5 species